rnacentral:rRNA from 1 species
AUGCUUCGCAUUGGCACAUCCAUCUCGGUGGGUACUGGGUCCUCGAACCUGUUCUGGUUUGAUAGGUGGCUUGGCGACACCCCCCUGGCCGCGCGUUUUCCAGUGCUCUUCAACAUCGUUGUUGACCCUCGGGUUUCUGUCGAGACGACCCUUAUUGACUUAGGGCGCCUCGCUUUCCGCCGCCCCUUUGGCCCCUCUGAGGUUGCAGCUUGGGAUGCCCUCCUCCAGGACAUCGCCCUCCUCUAUAUGGACGUCGCUGACACCCCGGACGCCAUCUCUUGGCGCCUGGAACCCUCCGACUGCUUCUCCACCAAAUCCCUCUACGCGGCUAACGCCCCAUCGACGGCCCCCGAGCCCUUCAGUUUGAUUUGGGACAUCCGCCUGCCCCUGAAGAUCAGGAUCUUCCUGUGGCAAUGGAUCCGCGGUCGCCUCCCGUCCGGCGUAGAGGUCCUUAAGCGUCAUGGACCUGGAGAUGGGAUGUGCCCCAUGUGCGGCACGGUAGAGGAUGCCAACCACAUCUUCUUCUCGUGCUACACGGCACACUUCCUUUGGUCCUGUUUCCGUGAAACGGUUGGGGGCCAGUGGUGCAACACCAACUUCCCUGACCUGCUUGCGGAAAUUCAGGCCUCCCCCUCGCUAUAG